rnacentral:rRNA from 1 species
GAUGAACGCUAGCUACAGGCUUCACACAUGCAAGUCGAGGGGAAACGAUAGAGAAAGCUUGCUUUUUCUAGGCGUCGACCGGCGCACGGGUGAGUAACGCGUAUCCAACCUGCCCACCACUUGGGGAUAACCUUGCGAAAGUAAGACUAAUACCCAAUGAUACCUCUAGAAGACAUCUGAAAGCGAUUAAAGAUUUAUCGGUGAUGGGUGGGGAUGCGUCUGAUUAGCUUGUUGGCGGGGUAACGGCCCACCAAGGCUACGAUCAGUAGGGGUUCUGAGAGGAAGGUCCCCCACAUUGGAACUGAGACACGGUCCAAACUCCUACGGGAGGCAGCAGUGAGGAAUAUUGGUCAAUGGACGAGAGUCUGAACCAGCCAAGUAGCGUGCAGGAUGACGGCCCUAUGGGUUGUAAACUGCUUUUAUAAGGGAAUAAAGUGAGCCACGUGUGGCUUUUUGCAUGUACCUUAUGAAUAAGGACCGGCUAAUUCCGUGCCAGCCGCCGCGGUAA